rnacentral:lncRNA from 1 species
AUGUCUAGGCAAGCUUUGUCCCAAGGGAGACAAUUCAUCUGUUCGAGGCAAGUGGUUUUUAAGUGGGACCUUUGCAACGCAUCGUGACCCCCCCACUUACCUGAAAGCUUACCUGGUCAACUCAGUUCAUUAGACCGGAUUGGAGGCUUAGGUGCCCUCUUCAAACCAGUUAGGAGCUGUCUAGUGAUUUUAGGGCAAAUACAAGGAUUUGAUGUGUUUUU